rnacentral:rRNA from 1 species
ACAUGCAAGUCGAACGAAGUAGCAAUACUUAGUGGCAGACGGGUGAGUAACAUGUAGGUAUCUGCCCUUUGGCCUGGAAUAACACGAGGAAACUUGUGCUAAUACCGGAUAAGUCUUUACGGAGAAAGCUUUAUGCACCAUUGGAUGAGCCUGCACUUGAUUAGUUUGUUGGUGGGGUAAUGGCCUACCAAGACUGUGAUCAAUAGCUGAUUUGAGAGGAUGAUCAGCCACAUUGGGACUGAGACACGGCCCAAACUCCUACGGGAGGCAGCAGUGGGGAAUCUUGCACAAUGGAGGAAACUCUGAUGCAGCGAUGCCGCGUGAGUGAAGAAGGCCUUUGGGUUGUAAAGCUCUUUCGUCGGGGAAGAAAAUGACUGUACCCGAAUAAGAAGGUCCG